AGGUUCAACCAGACUGGAGAAACGGAAAGAAGAGUAGAGGACAGGGGAGCCAGGGUCAGAUCCAGUCUUUUUUCUUUGACCCCAGCCUCAUUUCCUACCCGGCAGCUGCCCAUCCGAAAUGGCUCUGAAG
rnacentral:miRNA from 1 species